rnacentral:lncRNA from 1 species
UGAAGCUUUGAACUUGGGAUCCUCCUGCCUCAGCCUCCUGAGCUGCUGGGAUGACCGGUGUGCGCCCCUCCCCCAGCUGCAGUGCGCAUCUCUGCACCCAUUUUCACUUCCAAAGGCAGAUUCCUGUGUGUGGAGUCAGAUCAUCAACUGCAGGGUCAGAAGACACGCAGCCCCAAACUUUCAUCAUAAAAAUGAUCAAACAUACAGAAAAAUCAUACAGGGCACACGUGUUUGCCCAGCAGCUAGGCCAUGCCGUUGCUAACACUGUGCUCUAUACUCGGCCACCCAUGGCACAUGUUACAAAAGUGCUCUUCAAAGUAAGUUGUAGACCUCGGUCCUCUGUGGCCUUGCACUCCUCAUACACACUAUUAACUGGAAGGCCAAGGUCUGUAGGGCUUUGACCCUGGGCACUGAACUUCCUGUAGGAAACAGAUACCAGUUUCAUUUCCACGUGUGUGAGUAUGUCUGACUCACCAGGGCUUUGCCAACGCCGGUAUGGUUUUUUCAUUAUUAUUAUUAUUUUUUUUUAUUUCAGCACUGGGUUUGGAACCCAGGGUCUUGCAUAUGCUAGAGCACAUACUCUACCACUGAACCACAUCCCAGCCCUUCUUACUUUUUGUUUAGAGAUAGGGCCUUGCUAAGUUGCUGAGGCUGGCCUUGAACUUGUGAUCCUCCUGCCUCAGCCUCUUGAGGCCCUGAGACGACAGUCGUGUGCAUCCGCUUGGGCAGGAUCAUUUUAAAUAUGUCUGAUCUACUGUGCCCAGACUUCCCACCUCAGGGACUUUCACAAAGCUCUGUCCCCUCCAACUCUCCCUAUAUUUCUGGUGUGGCUUUCCUGAGGCCCUAGUGUGUGUGUGUGUGGGUGGGGGGCUGCUGUCUGUCCCACCCUAGAAGUCCCCGGCUGCCUGGGGAGGGAAGGCUGUGAAGUGACCGCCAGCUGGUGGACCCUCUCUGACAGGGAAAUGGGCCGAGUGUGGAGGUCAGAAGCCCUGGACCGGGUAGGCUGCCUGGGAAGGUGAGGUGGGGGCCUGUGGCGUGGUGUCUGCCCCGAGCCUGCUGCUUCCUAACAUGCAGGACAGGC